rnacentral:piRNA from 1 species
UGCCUCUCAUUGGCCUCGCCAGUGUCGAAA